ACUGGGGGGGGCGGGUCCCUCAGCCCAGAUUGCGAGAGGGCAGAGACCAGGCUGAGGGAUCCUACCAGUGCAGG
rnacentral:pre_miRNA from 1 species